AACGAACGCUGGCGGCAUGCCUAACACAUGCAAGUCGAACGAGACCUUCGGGUCUAGUGGCGCACGGGUGCGUAACGCGUGGGAACCUGCCCUUAGGUUCGGAAUAACUCCCCGACAGGGGUGCUAAUACCGGAUAAUGUCUUCGGACCAAAGAUUUAUCGCCUUUGGAUGGGCCCGCGUUGGAUUAGCUAGUUGGUAGGGUAAAAGCCUACCAAGGCGACGAUCCAUAGCUGGUCUGAGAGGAUGAUCAGCCACACUGGGACUGAGACACGGCCCAGACUCCUACGGGAGGCAGCAGUGGGGAAUAUUGGACAAUGGGCGAAAGCCUGAUCCAGCAAUGCCGCGUGAGUGAUGAAGGCCUUAGGGUUGUAAAGCUCUGUUACCCGGGAUGAUAAUGACAGUACCGGGAGAAUAAGCUCCGGCUAACUCCGUG
rnacentral:rRNA from 1 species